rnacentral:rRNA from 1 species
AGUGAACGCUGGCGGUAGGCCUAACACAUGCAAGUCGAACGGCAGCACAGUAAGAGCUUGCUCUUACGGGUGGCGAGUGGCGGACGGGUGAGGAAUACAUCGGAAUCUACUUUUUCGUGGGGGAUAACGUAGGGAAACUUACGCUAAUACCGCAUACGACCUACGGGUGAAAGAAGGGGAUCUUCGGACCUUGCGCGUUUGAUUGAGCCGAUGUCGGAUUAGCUAGUUGGCGGGGUAAAGGCCCACCAAGGCGACGAUCCGUAGCUGGUCUGAGAGGAUGAUCAGCCACACUGGAACUGAGACACGGUCCAGACUCCUACGGGAGGCAGCAGUGGGGAAUAUUGGACAAAGGGCGCAAGCCUGAUCCAGCCAUACCGCGUGGGUGAAGAAGGCCUUCGGGUUGUAAAGCCCUUUUGUUGGGAAAGAAAAGCAGCAGGUUAAUACCCCGCUGUUCUGACGGUACCCAAAGAAUAAGCACCGGCUAACUUCGCG